GUCAAACGAUUCAUCAAGCUAAGAUUUUCUGUGAAAAUAGAGAAGUACCAGAAGGUGGAAGACUGGAGGUUACUUGCAGCACAUUUGGCCUUACAGUAAAGGCAGUUUAUUUAUAUCUGUUUAAAAAUGGCAAAGCUAUUGAUUGGAAAAAACAGCUCAAUCCACAAGACACCACCUUUAAAAUGGAGAGAAUAGAUAUAAACCGUUCAGGCAACUACAGCUGUGGGUUUUCAGAAGAACAGUUGGAAAUAACCAAAGUGACAGGAUAUGGUGCACACUACAACAUUUAAUCAUAAGUGUUCUCUUUCUCGCCACAGAAUCUUUAAUUUAUACACAGAUACAUUUGCGUAAGCCUGAGGUGCCGGUGGGAAGUGAUGCUGAGUUUAAAUGUUCAGCAUCCAAUCCUUUACACAAAAACCAGUCCGAGAACAUGAUUUUGGUUUAUCUCAUCAAAAAUGGAAAGCCUGUUGAAGUUAAUAUUUGGGACACAGAGAAGAUGAUGACAACAUUCACCCUCAGAGAGGUCCGGACUGAAGAUGCUGGGACAUACAGUUGUGUUGUAUUGUUAAACAUACUCCCUUACCAUGGAAUGACACUUCAUCAAAAUAUUAAAGUCAAUCUUAAGAUUACUGCGACAUCUAAUAGCAGCAUUGACAAAGUCAUAAUUGUCAUAAUGUGCGCUAUCAUAGUGUUGCUCCUCAGUCUGUUUCUGGGAAUCUGGGCACUGAUCCGAAAACGAGGUACCACUUUUUCUAGAUCUGCAAACACUGACACAUUUCACUUUGUUGAACUGUUCUGUUUAAAUCCUAAAACUCAUUUUCUUUCUGGUAGGAUGUCUUGGAAUCCACAACGAAAGAUCCUCGAAAAACGAGACAGAGCUCAGAGGAACAGAAAUGUUCUAUGA
rnacentral:lncRNA from 1 species